GUUAUGAUUUAUGACUUCAAUCCAAUUUAUGGCCAUUUACAAGAAUGCUGAACUGGCUGUAAAUCAGUAAGAGACCAUAAAAUACUCAUGAGAGCUGCUGAAAUCCAUCUGGGUGAGCUUCCUUCCCUCCCAAGAGCAGCCAGAUGAGGGCAGGAAGAUGUAGGCCUCCCAUCAAGCCUCGCAGCAGCAAUAGGGCGUGGGGAUGUGAUGAAGUGCUUGGAUGGAGGAAAGGGCAAAGGCAAAGAAGGCUUGUUUUGAGGGCAUGUGAAAGGCAGAUGAGCCGUUGCCGAAGAACUGCUCUGCAAGACUUCAAUGGAGGAGUUUCACCCAAAAGCAAGGCCCACCUGGAUUCCAUAGCAGCCAGUGAUUUUCUGAAGGAUUGCGGGGGCAAUAUAAAGAGAAAAAUGGCAACAGACUACUCCACUUCUAAUGACAUCAUGUGAUUUGAAUCUGACGCUGGUGGGACACUUUGAGGAGCUACCAUCAAUUCCUUCAAAUCCUUCUUUCUCCUUGCCUUCCCUCUGGGCUCAGAAUACUGGGCUGAAAAAAAACCACACAAAAAGAUACCACAGAAGUAGCUAUUGCCCAGGAACUGAGCAGGAAAUCCUUCAUUUCCACCUCUAGCCCUGGAAUAUUAUCUGACAAGCACAAGAAAAAUAAGGUGAGUUAAAAUUACUCCUUUACUAAUUAGCGAGAUUUUCAAAGUUACAUAAUCCACACGACCUCCAGUGAGUCUGUAAAUAUGCUGGAGAGCUUCCACGGUUUCCAAAGUGAACUGAAGCACUGUCUACAUCAAUGUAAUUACAUCAAUACAGUGCCCAUUUUCUUAAUGUGGAAAGUGCUUUGCUGUCCUUUCAGGAUGAAUUUUGCAUAAAGAUCUUCCUUGAGGGAAAGCACAACAAAUGUGGAGUUUGUAGACUUAGGUGACAUAGUUUGUUUUCUUCUGUUCUGUGAGAAACAUUUGAAGAUUUUUAAAAGAAACUAGAAAAAAACCUUUUGUUACUUUUUACAAGACUUCUAAAAAGGUUUUCCAAAUGACAUGUAAUUUUCCCCUAGAAGCAUUUUCCUCUGACAACUGAUCUAGUCAUGCUGCAUUUCAGGAAGAAAAGGUGUUUAUUGAGAAACUCAGACACAAUUAAAAAUUGAAAUGCGAAUGGAAAAUCACCGUUCUACCUUGAACAUUCUGAGUCACCAUAUGUGUAGGUUCUCUAUAUUACCUGCAGGGUAGAGAAGAUUUUGCCUGUCACUUCUUCAGAGGCUAUAAGGGAGGAUUCAGAAAUAUGAAGCAUUAGGAUCUAGUGCAUUCCAGUUUUACUUCUCCUCCAGGACUUGUGCUACAAAAGAGAGGUACAGCCAGAACAUGGCCCUGCCACCUGAACAUGCUAGAGCUGGGAUUGACAGGCAGAGCAGGCUUUGGUUAAAUGAUUAUGUUUUUUGGUAAUCAUCUGACCUCUAAAUCAUAAGGUACUUGCAUUCACACAGCAUGAACCAGAGAGCAGUAAAACAUGUUUCCACUGUCAUUCUUUCAUAGGUAGGUGAGCAGCUCUGACAUGAAACUGUCUUUGAUAUUAUUGAUAACAGAGGGUGUUGUGGAAGAUGUUUAUUUUUUCAGCAAUCCCAGCAAAUGGUGCUGAUUAUUGUGAACUGAACCAUAGUAAACUGUUAGCUACCGUUCCUGGAAAGCGUUAUGCUCUCCUUGUUUUCCCUCUUGCAGCUCACUAUCAGCUCAUCUUCACUUAGUGAAGAGUUGGUGAAGGUCAUAUUUUUCCAAAAGAGAUUGUUUCCAGUUGCAUUCAAGUUGUUAGGUAUUUCCUUCCUCCCUUUCUCAAUUUCAAAACAAGUGAACAUCAUACCUCUAAGAUCACUGACUAUGAUAGCUUGAACUGGACUCUUCCAGGUAUGCCUGAGUGGCCUGUUUUUCACGGUCAUUCAUAUCUGUCAACUUAGAUAACAGUAUAAAAAAACUUCUUGAAUAGUUUUUGUGUUGUAGUAACCAAAGAAUAUAUGCCAGACGUUCCUCCAGAGGGAGAAUCAAGGUGAGCCCUGCUUUCCUUAGCUAAUCUCUACGCACCUUUUGAAAACACCAAGACAUGCUUGAGCUAAGUGAAACCUCAGUGAAUUUCCUUCCUGUACAGUCUGUCAUUUGUUGAGCUCAUCUAAACUACUUUCACAAGUACUGUCUUUUUAGGAAAGAUUUUAUUUCCCCUUAUAGGCAGCAUACAGUGGUAACCUGCACCCAUUUCAUGCAACUGUGACACUGCUGCUUUACUCGCUUUGUGCAUAUGCAGUUAUCUGUUGUAGUGAGGCUUUUUCUAUUUAAUGUGGAAUUUUCUCAGCUAACAAACUAAUGCAGGAUUUGGUCAAUAUUAGAUGUAGCCUGAUUUUUUAAUUUUAUUUUCUGCAUUAGUACUGGUUUGUUGUUCUACUCCUGGUUAAAUUACCACUGCCUUUUGUGUUCUUAAUGACUGCUCUGUUUCUCCAGGUUAGGUAGCUGGUGCAGAAGGGUAACAGGCUCCUUAGUGGAGGUAGAUAGCCUCUAGCCAACCAGAAACUAGAAUAUCUGAUUAUUUUCACUCUCUCUUUUUGCUUUCUCUGUGGCAACUUCCAAAUUAGAGUGACUGAGUGCCUUCUUCCUAUCUCUGUGAUCUCAGUGUAUAAGAUGGUGCUGAAGUAGAUGAUCUUCUGCAAUUCAGUUUAUCUCCUGCUAAAGCAGACCAUAUCCCAGGUACUCAUUUUCACAGUGCCAGCCAAUCAGUGGUGUUGACACUAUGGUGUCACCUUUUUGAUAGCUACUUCUGAGAUUACAAAAGGGUGGUAACCAAUUAAUUUUGCUGAUAGCAAUACCUCAGUGUUGGACCAACAGGGACAAGGAGCAUGCCUACUGCUUGGCAGUAGUGAUAUAAUUAAAAUGACAAAGUCUGUGGAGGCUACUGUAGUUUUUUAUUAUAAGCAGCACAGCCUUGUAGAAAGGCACUGACAAAUUUACAAGGCAUUAAUCUGGUCACAAACUAUCUUCAGAAGAUUAAACAAGAAGAGCAGGCGGCAUGCAUCUCCCAUCACAGGAGACAGGAGAGAAGCUAUUCUGCCCAUGCUGUUACUCGCCUUUACCGUGACAGAGAAGCAUGAACUGCUCUGUGCCCUGUCCUCAUAUAGCCAGCAGGUAACUCUCUCAGAAGCCUCUCAUGAAGAUAGCAGGAAAAUGAAAAGAGGUUGCAAAGUAGCGAAUUUUUCUGGCCACUGCGAGAACCCUGUGUGCAGAGUCACCUCACACGUACGCUGAGAACAGCCAAGCGUGGCCGUGCAGGCUGGAUGUUCUAAAUCAUUCUAACCUUUCGCGGUGUUUUAAGUUUGCUAUUUAGAAAAAGAAUAUAUUUCAUUUCUACUUCUGCAUUUCUGCUUUUACACUCUGGUGCGCUCUUCACAGAAGUGGAGUUACACAUACACGUGCACACACUCUGGUGACUCUAGAAUAAAAUGACAAUUUGUCUUGAACA
rnacentral:lncRNA from 1 species